CCAAAGAAACAUGACCACCACCCAAACCAAAAACCCCAAUGCCAGAAUACGCCCUUACCUUCUCUAAGGUCGCCUUUCCCUGGUUGAGACAAAACGAAACGAAGGGAGCAAUGGAGAGAACGAAGCAAUAGUUAUAGUGGUGGUGGACGAUGAACGAAGACGUUGGAAGAAGGCGUUGGUGUUCGAAACUGUUCUCGGC
rnacentral:lncRNA from 1 species